rnacentral:rRNA from 1 species
GCUUACGGCCACACCGCCUGGUUCACGAUCUCAAUUGAUCACGGAAGCUAAGAUAGGGUUGGGCCAGGUUAGUACUUGGAUGGGAGACCGCCUGGGAAUACCAGGUGCUGUAAGCU